rnacentral:lncRNA from 1 species
UGUAGAAAAGACCUCAGAAUGUGUAUUUUAAAUAAAAAUUUAAGAAUUAUGCCUUAAGAAUUAAGAAUCGACCUACUUGUGACACUUAAACUUUUUCUUAGGUUUAUUCCCCUAAUUGCCUUGUUUUAAAAGUAUGUACUUCUUGACCAUAGCCAUGAACAGUGUCAGGGAGGCAUGCACCCAUAUGAAGCGCAAGUCCAACCAAUGCUUCAGUUGCUGUUUUGCUGAGAAAUUCCUCAAGGGAGACAGCUCCAGGGUCCAGUGCACGGAUCUCUUCAAUUGCUACCGGUAGCAUGUUCAGAAAGCAAUGAAAGAGAAAGAGAGUCCCAUUGAAGAACUGGAAUUCAUGGGCCAUGGCAAAGAAAAGCCUGAAAGCUCUUCUUGACCUUGACUGUUAACCUUGAAAAUGAAUUCUAGGGCUGCAGUAGUAGCUCAGUGGUAGAGUGCCUGCCUAGUACAUGUGAGGCAAUGGGUUUGAACCUCAGCACAAGAAAGAAAGAAAGAGAGAAAGAGAGAAAGAAAGAAGAAAGAAAGAAAUUGUAUCCAUCUACAACUGAAGAAAGAAAGAGAGAAAGGAAGAAAGAAAGAAAAAGGAUUCCUAUAUUAGGAAAUUGAGGGCUCUGGAUUUUGUCCACCAAGGCUGUGAAGAUAGCUGUGGGAUUUGAUGGAGUUUCAGAGGGAGCUGUGUUUUUCUUCCUUCUGAAGUUUUCCUCUCACUUUUAAAAGAUGAUGAACCACUCCCUUCUUUGAGGCAAUUUCUCAUUUGCAGACCCUUAGUGUGUUAAAAUUGAACAAUUUCUUGGUAUUAUGGUUGCAAUAGGUAGUUUGGAAUCAACUUUGAAUAUAUCUUGUAUAUGAAUAAUAAUAAACUACUUAUUGUGAUCAGAGUUGCCUGAUUUCUUGGUGUUUGCUGCAAAGGACAUUAUGUACACUGAAUUGGGGUCAUUAUUAUGAGAGCAAUUGGUUAGGACUUCUCUUUUCUCUCAGGAGCUAAUGCUUUAAAAAG